AUACUUAUCUGGCAGGGGAGAUACCAUGAUCACAAAGGUGGUUUUCCCAGGGCAAGGCUCAUCCAUUGCACUCCAAAUGUGUUGACCCCCGCAAUUUCCUCAAAUGUAGGAAACUCAAUUGCAUAAUGUGUGGCAGUGGGAGACUGCGUUCAUGCUUUCCCUUG
ensembl:snRNA U1 U1 spliceosomal RNA